UUAGUCGACGCGUUUUACAAUCAGACUGUAGUUCAUUUGUGAUAUGUACAACAUAUUUAGAAACGCUGGCCAUUGUCUGAAUACAAUGUGGCCCCUCUUCAAUGUGACUUUUUUCAAGUGCCCUAUUCACCGUCAGACAAUGCGGCCACGGAAGGUACAUUAUUACGAGGCAAUGUGCGAAAUGAUACACUCGUCUCGCCCGAAGCCUGGGCCUACCUUUUAUAUGGUCACAAAGGCCUAGAGGACCCUGGUAGGGGCAUUGUUAACAUUUGAAAAGCAGGAGACCGAGCGAGGAUAGCAUGACGUGCACCCACACCACAAGCCAAGAUACUUCUCUGUUGGGAGGAGGUGGAAUUCACCACUCGGCUAUUACAAAUCCAAUUCGAUUUUCUCCCGACGAUUGCGCUACUCGUCAGGUACGACCAGUGAGUCGAUGAGAGAGGGUGUGUUGGAGUGAGCUGGGAUAUUUACCUGUGGUGCCCUGAUCUGAGAGGGGGGAGGUACCCCGGACGCCGUCACAUGUCUCAGGCGAGUUGACAAGACAAAGCCAUGGACGAACCAACGAUCUACAAGUCGCCAACAGCUCACCAUCUGAUAAUCCCCGUCCGUUCACAUCGUUGCUGCAAACGUCUUCCACAACAUCUGGAAGGCAACAAGUCAUCAACUACCACCACCGCAACAAUGCAACCAUAUGCAUUUACAAUAGCGAAAAAACAUCAAAGAAAACGAAAACAUUCAAAUAAACUGACCACCAACUGUAACGACAGCCCUCUGGUCAUUUGCACUAAUGAUGCAAACAUCAAACGUCCACGUGACCACACCCGGAAGUGGCUACUAAAAUCUGACCAGAAACUUAAAGGCGGAGAAGACGCAAGAAGGCGUAAUACCUCUGUUAACUCGUAUUGUACGCCAACAGGCUGUGUAUUUCCCGAGGACGUGAGUGAUAAUUGGUGAAGGUCUAGCGGUAAUAUCAGAGACCAGACUAAGUUACUAGACGGCGACUGAAGCGUGUGGUACUACUGGAUUACCUGCAAGGGAGACGUGGUCACAGAUACAUCACAGAUACGGAUACAGCAACAGGGGGAGUUGAUAAUUCACAUACAGAUUUCCUGUAUGCAACCGGGAUAUUCUGAUUCAAGGAAGCUGACGUCAUGUGAAUGUACGAUCUGAUCACGUGGAUUAAACCUGCACGAGAUGACAAGGAUGUGUCGCUGCUAAUCAACAAUCGGAUCAGCGGGAAAUCUACAAGGACAAGGAUGUUGGAUAAUGUUUAUAAGUCCUUCUGCUGCAAAAAUGUGCAAUUUCGUGAUAUUGUGUUUGUCCUGUGUGAAAGAAGAAGGAUACUAAAAGUAAAUUGUGAAGUAUAUGAGCUGAAUAUUGAUUAUUAUUAUCAUGUCUAUUUUUUAAAUGUGUAAAAGAGAUACCUGGAAUCGUCACUGUCGUGAGGUACAGAAAGAAGGAUAUAUGACGUGUGCUUAACCUGUAUGUGAUCCAUGGUUUAGCUGUAUGUGAUCCAUGGUUUACCUGUAUGUGAUCCAUAAUUUACCUGUAUGUGAUCCGUGAUUUACCUGUAUGUGAUCCAUGAGCGUCUGAUACAGAUCGGGCUGUCACAUGUGUGACGGAUGAUGUGUGAAGCUGUUUCAUCACACGACAACUGUGAUUCACUCACUGGGAACCAGGACACCAUGUUGUUGGAAUGUUCUCACAGGCCAUUACAACAUUGUGUUGUACACUACACCAUAGUGAAUAUGACGUGGACAGAAGACUACGUUCAACCAAAAGACAAACUUCUAUGGAUAACUGAUUCCAUCCUAUAGAUAAAUACGACAAAUGCAUGAUAUGGAUUUAGAAAACCCACUGGAUUUAAGAAAGAUAGUGUGACAUGUGGGUGUGAAUCCUCUAUUUCGCCAAGAGUAAUGCACAAGGAUGUCACACUUUAAAUCCAACCCAGGUAAUUUUUCAGGAUAAAAUAUUUCAUGAUUUUAAAGAACAUCUAAAAUGAAUAAGAAUUAUAUUUUUGUGAAUUUGAAAAUAUAAUGGUACAACUCCCGGUGGAUGCUAACAGAUGGAAAGGUACAGACCAGAUGGAGUUCAAAUGGAUGUUGUGUGAUAUACCAGAUGGAUUUGAACUGGAGGGAUUCGUCGCCAAAUGAAUGGAAUAUCACACCUGAUGGAUGCAAAGUUGAUGGAAGAUUUCACCAUAUCAAUGAUAAUGGACGGGAUGUUGCACUAUGAAUUUUGUAAAUGGAUGUGAUAUUUUUCUGAAGGAUAUGGAAUAGAUGUGAUAUUAAAUCAUAAAUUAUGUGAAAGGCUUAAUGUGAGAACUGGAACACAACAUUUGAAGGAUGACAAAUGGAUGGGAUAUUUUACCAGACUGGUGUGAAAUAGAUGGAAUAAUACCCCAUGUAAUACGAAUGAAUAUGACAUGGAUUGGAUAUUACACCGACUGGAUGUACAAUGGAUGGGAUAUUCCACCAGAUGGAUGUGAAAUGGAUUGGAUAUUACACCAGAUGGAUGCGGAAUGGAUUGGAUAUUACACCAAAUGGAUGUGGAAUGGAUUGGAUAUUACACCAGAUUGAUGUGGAAUGGAUUGGAUAUUACACCAGAUGGAUGUGGAAUGGAUUGGAUAUUACACCAGAUGGAUGUGAAAUGGAUUGGAUAUUACACCAGAUGGAUGUGGAAUGGAUUGGAUAUUACACCAGAUGGAUGUGAA
rnacentral:lncRNA from 1 species